rnacentral:rRNA from 1 species
AAAGGUCCGCCGGUCUGGGAGCAGGCGAUUUCGUAUCAGCUAGUUGGUGAGGUAACGGCUCACCAAGGCGACGACGCGUAGCCGGACUGAGAGGUUGGCCGGCCUCAUUGGGACUGAGACACUGCCCAGACUCCUACGGGGGGCUGCAGUAACGAAUCUUCCGCAAUGCACGAAAGUGUGACGGAGCGACGCCGCGUGUGGGACGAAGCCCUUCGGGGUGUAAACCACUGUCAGGGGAUAGAAAGUUCUGAUCAUCCCCAGAGGAAGGCACGGCUAACUCUGUGCCAGCAGCCGCGGUAAGACAGAGGUGCCAAGCGUUAGGCGGAAUCACUGGGCUUAAAGCGUGUGUAGGUGGAAGCGUAAGUACCUUGUGAAAUCCCACGGCUUAACCGUGGAACUGCUUGGUAUACUGCGUUUCUUGAGCCAACUAGGGGCUAUCGGAACAAGUGGUGGAGCGGUGAAAUGCGUAGAUAUGAGAAGGAACACCGGUGGCGAAAGCGACACACUGGGUCUUAACUGACGCUGAGGCACGAAAGCCAGGGGAGCAAACGGGAUUAGAUACCCCGGUAGUCCUGGCUGUAAACGAUGUCGACUAGAUCGCAGUGCCUCUGACGGUAUUGCGGUCGAAGCAAAAGUGCUAAGUCGACCGCCUGGGAAGUACGGUCGCAAGGCUAAAACUCAAAGGAAUUGACGGGGGCUCACACAAGCGGUGGAGCAUGUGGUUUAAUUCGAAGCAACGCGCAGAACCUUACCUGGGCUUGACUUGC